UACGGGGGGGGUAAGCGUUGUUCGGAAUUACUGGGCGUAAAGGGCUCGUAGGCGGCCAACUAAGUCAGACGUGAAAUCCCUCAGCUUAACUGGGGAACUGCGUCUGAUACUGGAUGGCUUGGAUUCGGGAGAGGAAUGCGGAAUUCCAGGUGUAGCGGUGAAAUGCGUAGAUAUCUGGAGGAACACCGGUGGCGAAGGCGGCAUCCUGGACCAACACUGACACUGAGGAGCGAAAGCCAGGGGAGCAAACGGG
rnacentral:rRNA from 1 species